rnacentral:rRNA from 1 species
UCGCCUGUUUAUUCAAAAACAUCUUUAAUUAAAUAACAAUUAAUACCGCCUGCCCAGUGUAAUUAUAUAAACGGCCGCAGUAUUUUAACUGUGCUAAGGUAGCAUAAUCCUUUGUCUCUUAAUUGGAGGCUAGAAUGAAAGGCAGGACGAAAGGUUAGCUCUUUCUUCUAUACUUAUAAAUUACUUAAAAAGUAAAAAAGCUUUUAUCUCUCAGAAAGACGACAAGACCCUGUAAAGCUUUACUCUAAAAAUUAUUUUAAAUUCUAUUUUUCUUAAUAGAGUUUGGUUGGGGCGACCUUCUUAAUAAAAACAAAGAUUAAAAGAACAUGUUGUAUGGUUUUUCAAAACACCUAAUAAUCCAUAACAAGCUACUUCAGGGAUAACAGCACAAUUUUUCCUUAGAGCUCUUAUCGUCGGGAGAGAGUGUGACCUCGAUGUUGAAUUGAAAAUUCUAAUUUUUAAGCAGAAUUAAAUUAAGAGAGUCUGUUCGACUUUUAAUUUUUCACAUGAUCUGAG